ACUGGAGGAGGACAUGAAGACUGGGGCAGAUGCAGUUUAUGGAGCUCCACAGGUCUGAUACACAGCAAUCCAGACUAUGAAGACUGGGCUGGUUGAUGAGGCCACAGCAGCAGAUGUAGCUUAGAACUCCACAACUAUUAGUUAAACCUCCACAACACUGAGUCAUUUGUGCACAUCAUCGUAGCAGUUUCUCAUUCCUUUGAACAAAUUGCAAGUGCUUUUGGACAUGUAUCAGUUACUUUCAACACUACUCAACAUUAUCAUUUGAUUAUGUCAUGUCAGUCAAAAUGAAACAUACUUAUGAAUGCUGAAUAGUCAUUCCCUAUAAAACUAAUAGUCCUCAUUUCAUUGCUUGAGUCAUUACAUACAAAAUUGCUAACUUCAUACAUUCCGUUAUAAUUUUUUUUCCUGAAAAUGUCUCCUAAAUUGAAGAAUUGCUCUCAGGUGAACUUCAGCUUUCACUUAUGAGGAAAUAUGUGAAGUUUUAGUUGUAACCAAUGACAAACCACUUGUCCACAGUCACUCAGAGGUGAAUCCCAUGAACCCUCCCUUGGCAAGCAUAUAUGAACCAAGUAGGACAUAGUGUGUACCAUUUCUACAAUUCUGUGACACAAAAAUGGAAUGUCAGCAUUGUGGAGGAGGGCUGAGAAUCCGCAGAGGAAGGGGAAGGGGACAAAACAGGGGCAGAAGAAGAGGUGAAGUACAUAGGCAAAUUCCUGAUGAAAUUAGGGCUACACUUGUUGACCAUGUUGUGAAUCACGGCCUCACUAUGUCUGAGGCUGGUCGACGAGUGAAACCAAAUGUAGGGAGAACCACUGUGAAUUCCAUCAUUCAAACAUUGGGAGAACAGGUAUGUAUAGUAUUGGACAGUAAUCCCUAUACCUUGUUAUAUCUCAUAUUUACUGUACAUUUCUAUAAUUUUGAUCUGCAACACAUAGGACUGCAAGACAACCUCGCAAAGGUGGAAGGGGGCCUGUUUUUACUCCACAACAAGAGGAAGCCAUUUGUGCAAUGGUUAUUGUAAACAAUUCAAUAACUUUGAGAAAGAUUCAAAGAGCCGUUAUAGAUGAUGACAAUAUCUUUGCCAAUAUUGAAUCAGUUUCAAUCGCAACAAUUGACCGAGUGUUCAGGAGGAAUGAAAUGCGCAUGAAACAACUUUACAAUGUGCCAUUUUAAAGGAACAGUGAAAGUGUGAAGGAGACCCAUCACCAGUAUGUACAAGUAAAGCUUGAGUGUGCGUCAUACUCUAAUGUUCAGCACUGUAAACUGUUUUACUUUGUGUAGUUCCAUGCAGUACACUUACAGUUUUUCUCAGUCGCUUUGGUACAUUUCUCAGAUCAGAAUUGAAAUUCUCAAAACUACCUGUUCAAUAUUCACAUCCUUGUGUGAUCAAAAAAGAAGUUUCUCAUUUCUUUGAACAGGUUGCAAAUGCUUUGGUACAUCCAUGCAAAUGAUUAUGUACAAUUCUCUUCUGUUUCCUGCAUCAUCAAUUGCUUAUGUCAUGUUGAUCAAAAUGUAUUAUAAUGGGUCUCUGUUGAAAAGUCUCACCCCCCUCAACAUUUAGGCAUUAGUUCAUAGCAUAAGUCUUUACAUGCAAAAUGAUCGAACACGUUGUCAUAAUAUGGCAAACAUAUUUCUAUACAUUUCCAUUCGACUUUUUUUCUAAAUCUGUCCUGAAUUGAUAAAUUGCUCCCAGGUGAAUCUUGACUUUCUCUAACGAAUCAAUAAACUGGCAAGUAUAUAUAUAGCCGAAGCACUACACAAUGUUACAAUUUCUGACAAUGCAAGGACAAAGAAAUGGUCGGGGUCAACAGCCAGAGAGAAGAAGAAGAGGAAGAGGAGUGAGGCUGCGUGGUGGAGGAGUUGGGAGGCAAAACAGAGGAAGAGGGAAAAGAGGCCGAGGACAUAUGCGCAUUCCUGAUGAGAAAAGAGCCACACUUGUAGACAAUGUUUUCAAUUAUGGGCUUGCAAUGGCCGAGGCUGGUCGAAGGGUGCAGACAAAUGGUGCGGGAACAACUGUGUCCUCAAUCAUUCAGACUUUUUGUCAACAGAACAGGUAUGUUAUCUAACAAUAGGCACUGUACUGUAUACUUUCUGUAAUGCUUGUGUGUUUUGCAUUACUAUAUGUCUUCCACAUAGGACUGCAAGACAACUUCACAGGAGUGGCAGAGGGCGCCUUGUCACACCUGAACAGGAGGAGGCUAUUUGCACAUGGUUGUAGAAAACAAUGCCAUAAGACUAAGGGAGAUACAGAGUGCCAUUAUAAAGGACAACAACAUCUUUGAUAACAUCCAAAUAGUCACCAUCACAACCAUUGACAGGGUGCUGAAAAGACAUCAAAUGAAUAUGAAGCAACUGUACACCGCUCCAUUUGAAAGAAAUGGUGAAAGAGUGAAGGAGCUGUGCCAUUAGUAUAUACAGCGUAUAAUGGAACUGGAAUCAAGUGAACCACCGCACAGCUUCAUCUACAUGGAUGAGGCUGGCUUCAACCUGACUAAACGCACAAGGCGUGGUCGAAAUAUCAUUGGCCACAGAGCUACAGUUGUGCCAGGCCAACAGGGCAGGAACAUAACUAUGUCUGCUGCUACCUCUGAGAAUGGUGUGCUAAUGCAUAUUCCCAUUAUUGGGCCAUACAAUACAGAGCGUCUUGUCACCUUUUUAGACACUCUACAGGGAUCUCAUCCCUGAAGAAGAGAGGGGCCAGAUUGGAGAUGACCUGCCAAAGUAUGUGAUAGUUUGGGACAAUGUCAGUUUCUAUCGCUCCAGCAACUUCAGGCAAUGCUGAAGGAGUUCCUCUCACCCUACUCCCCAUUCCUUAAUCGCACUGAGGAAUUUUUCUCAGCAUGGAGAUGGAAAGUAUAUGAUCACCAGCCACAUACACAGAUGACCCUUCUGGCUGCCAUGGAUGCAGCGUGUGAUGACAUCACUUCAGAUGCCCCCAGAGGUUGGAUAAGACACUCUAAAAGAUUCUUUCCACGCUGCAUCGCAAGAGAAGAUAUUCAUUUAUAUCAAUGCGGCAGGUUUCAAUCUGGCCAAAGGCAGAAGGUGUGGAAAAAACAGGAGAAUUGGACAGAGAUCAACGAAUGAUGUCCCAGGCCAACGGGGAGGGAAUAUUACUAUGUGUGCAGCCACCUCAGAAAAUGGUGUCCUCACCCAUAUCCCCCGUCUUGGUCCUUACAACACACAACAUCUUCUUACUUUUCUAGACACUCUUUACAGAACCAUAGUCCCUGAGAAUGAGAGGGGUCUAACUGGAGACCAUCUGAGCAAGUAUGUUGUUGGGUGGGAUAAUGUGAGCUUCCACCACUCACAUCUGGUCAGAGAGUGGUUUGCAGCACAUGGCAAGAUGCUGGUUGAAUAUCUCCCCCCUAACUCCCCAUUCCUUAAUCCAAUAGAAGAGUUUUUUUCUGCCUGGAGGUGAAAAGUUUAUGACCAGCGUCCACAUGCCCAAAUGGCCCUGCUAGCAGCCAUCGAUACUGCAUGUGAUGACAUCACAGUGGAGUCCUGCAGAGGGUGGAUUCACCACUCAAGGAGAUACUGUCCUUGUUGCCUUGCAUGGGAAGACAUCCGCUGCGAUGUAGACGAAAAUAUGUGGCCAGACAGACAGGAACGUGUGGAUGUCCAGGAAUAAUUUAUGUUCAGUUUACAGUAAUAUGUACUAUUAUAUUGUUUACAUUUGUGCACAGUUCUACCAUAAUGGUAUUUCUUAUUUUUGUUCUAAAUAAGUUUUUUUUGCACAAUGCUGUAGAAUUGCAAAGAGCAUAUGCAGUAAAUAUGUGAAACAUACAUGUGUCUUGUACUCAGUUACCUCACUAAAUACAGUAAUGUCUAACUUUACUGUAGUUUUCAAAUGGCUGUACAGAUAGUGCAUAGUGCUGUCUUGAGCAUUUUCAGGUAGUGUCAUCAAUAUCUGAAUAAACUAAACUGUCAUAAUGAAAA